rnacentral:tmRNA from 1 species
CUCGCCCGCCGCGGCGAGGUACCGGCGUCCGCCGUCAAGGAGGCCCGGGAGCGCUACGGCCUCUGAGCCGCCGGUCCCGUCCGUGCCCGUCCGUGCCCGUCCGUGAGGCGGCCCGCCCCUGCCGGGGUGGGCCGCCUCACGGCGUUUCCGGCGGCCGGAACCUCGCGCGGCGCCGGGCGGGCACCGGCCUUUGGCCGUAUGCGCGGUGGCGGUCGGGGGGCGGACCCGUGAUGCUGGAGCGGUGAUGGACGAGACGGAGUUCUGGGAGAUCGUCGACCGUACCCGCGAGGCCGCCGACGGCGACCCCGAGGAACACGCCGAGCUGCUCGUGGAGCGGCUCGCGCUGCUCGACCCGGACUCCGUCCUGGACUUCGCCCGCCACUUCGAGUCCCGGUACAACCGGGCGUACACCUGGGACCUGUGGGGCGCGGCCUGGGUGCUCCUCGACGGGGCGAGCGACGACGCCUUCGACUACUUCCGCUGCUGGCUGAUCGGCCAGGGGCGGGAGGUGUUCGAGGGCGGGGUGCACGAUCCCGACCAGCUGGCGGAGCUCCUGGGCGAUUUCGACGAGGAGAUCGACGG